rnacentral:misc_RNA from 1 species
UAAAAAUAUCAUUGAUAAAUGGCCCUUAAAAUAAAUCUAAAAACAAAUAAAAAGUCAUCAACAUUGGCCCAGCAUCGGUAUUGAGUUAGUGCGCCGGUGCGUUGGGUUGGCGCACCAAUCCAUUUGCGUAGCACUGCGCCAACUAAUAAAAACUCAUUGAGUUACCCAGGCCUACAGGCAAGUGUAAACUCGCCAUUAUUGUGGUUGAUAGACAAUAUUAAGAGAGCUCAUAUUGACUCACCUUUGAUUCAAACUGUCUCACUUAGCCAUUGUAUAAAAUGUACCCUAUUCGGUGUCUUUGGACGAUUCGCCUCCACGCGAAAGAAACGCCAAUAAUAUAUUUUUAUUACUCACUGUGUAUCUUCCUAAUAUUAAUUUAAUAGGAGCCAGGGCCUGGUUGUGCCUUUGCAAGUAAUUCAACUUAAACAGGUGAAUGCGUUUACCUGCAGGUGAUUGUCAUUGUCCGCCUGCUGUCUCGUAAUUUUUUUCUAUGUUUCUAAGUGAUUAUGCAAAAUUCCCAACUGAAAAUCGUUUGUGAAUAAUGACGAUUGUGUGGACUUGCGAGGCGGCCUCAACCCGACAAAGCGAAUGAUGUUGGAGUUGGAACCGCGCAGCGCUCAAGAGGCGCGCAAUGAAAUAGUGAACAGUGCUCUGAAGAAACUGGCCAAAACUUACCACUCCAAUACCCAGACCAAUCCCAGGUGGAAACCUCGGGUAAGGGAGCGCACUUAUGAUGUGCCGCUCAAAAGAAAAAUUUCAGGUGGGCGGGCUGGGAUCAAGUCCAAGUCGGAGCUGCUGACCGCAAUGAAAAAGCGCCAGAAGUGCAGGAACCCAUCGUCCAGCAGUCCAGUGAUUCAACUGUAAUCCCCUUUGGCUUAAGGCUUUCAGACAAACUAUACACGGUUUUCUGCAGCUCCGGUAGGGGCGAUGUGGCGUCUCAGCUGGCACCGAGCAAAAACACCUUUACAAUGGCGAAGCCAACCAGGGCGGAUAACCAGGAGCGCAGCAAAGGAAAAACGCUGAUCAAAGACAAGUCGCUGGAGUAAGCAUAUAAAGCGGGUUUCACGCGAAAGGUUCA